AUAUCUAUGAAGCAGGGGAGAUACCAUGAUUAUGAAGGUGAUUUUCCCAGGUUGAGGCUUAUCCAUUGCACUCCAGAUGUGCUGACCCCUGAGAUUUCUGCAAAUGUAGAAAACUCAACUGCAUAAUUUGUGGUAACAGGGGACUGCAUUCAUGUUUUCUCCUG